rnacentral:rRNA from 1 species
CCCUAUGGUUAUUAAAGUGGCCGCGGUAUUCCGACUGCGCAAAGGUAUCAUAAUAAUAAGUGUCUCAAUAGGAAGCUGCGUGAGUGGNUGUCUGAGAUAUAUAUGCUAUCUCAUAUAUGAAUAACAAUGAAACUUCCUGUCCAAAGCUUAAUGUUUGANAGGGACGANAAGACCCUAUAGAACUUAUAUAUUAAUAAUUAGUUUCAAACNAUAAAAANCAANCUANAUGNUCCGCUGGGGUGGUAGUGAAAUUGGAACCUAACCCUNNCAUACNCUUACUUCUGUGCAGUAGAUGCUAUUNGAUNAUAAGAAUAAGUUACCUUACGGAUAACAGCGUAAUCUUAAUGGAGAGUUCAUAUCUAUCUUAAUUUUUGCGACCUCGCCUUUGUAUUAAGAUUACNUAAAAAGCAGUAAUCCANNAAUGAAGUCUGAUCGACUUCCAAAAUCUUACUUGAUCUGAGGUCAAACCGG